rnacentral:rRNA from 1 species
UACGGGGGGGGUAAGCGUUGUUCGGAAUUACUGGGCGUAAAGGGCUCGUAGGCGGCCAACUAAGUCAUACGUGAAAUCCCUCAGCUUAACUGGGGAACUGCGUGUGAUACUGGAUGGCUUGGAUUUGGGAGAGGGAUGCGGAAUUCCAGGUGUAGCGGUGAAAUGCGUAGAUACCUGGAGGAACACCGGUGGCGAAGGCGGCAAUCCUGGACCAAUAUUGACGCUGAGGAGCGAAAGCCAGGGGAG